AUAGUAGGGUAGCUGGAUCUUCAAAAUUUAUGUGUCUAAACUUUGUCAGAGAUCUUUGGCAAAGUUAUCUAUGGUACCCGAGGAGCUGAUGUUGCGUGUUGAAAGUAGUGUUGGAGAUAUGCCCUGAAAGUCAAUCUUUGGAAGAAACCUUUCAGGACAAUGAAUGUGUGUAUAGAUGAUUCUUAUAUAUCAAAAAGGCAAAGAUACUAAUUAGGACUAUCUCAAUAAUUGAUAUAUGUCCUAAAUAGUGAAUCCAUGGACAAUGGAUAGAUGGAAGAAGUAAUCUAAUGAUGUUAGACUACAGAGACCUUCUUCACAUAACCAUCAUGUCCAAAAAGGUUCCUGGUCAUAGGAUUGUCAGAGGGAUACUGACAAUGCAUAGACCAGUACAUACUAUGUACCCUUCAAUUGGAAAGAUGGAAAGUCUCAUCCCAUUCGUGCAGUGACACUUAAAUAGGUAUGGAGGUGCUCAUUAAGGGAAUGAGUUCACUGAACACAAUCGAACGAGAGUACUUGCAUGGAGGUCUACUCACAUGUCAAGCAAGUAACUCUAAUGGUUGGAAUAAUGUAAGUAAUCCUUUGACCUGAGACAUUAUAGUUGUCUUGGGGAUACGUUGCUGAUCAUUUUGAUAAUGAGACGUGACCACACCUCAUAUUGGGUGUGUUCUAUGCAUUGUUGGGGUCAGUGAUUUAUUCUCAGAGGCAUGUGAAUGAUCAACAAGGGAUCUCUAAUACUCGUUAUGAGAGGAUGAAUACUCUAAGAUAUGAUUUGGGAAUCUUCGGCCGAAGUAUCGAGCGUAAUAAAGGAAAGCAUUCCUGUACGACUUAAUUGAAUCAUAUAACAUGGAAUAAUCAUACUAGGGGUUUGACAUUAAAUAUCCAUACCCUAGUAAUAUGAUUGUGAGUAUUGUUUUAGAGAAGGAUCGGAUUACAUUGUAAUUCCAACUGAAUAGGUUCUCCGAACAAAUUCUACAUUAGCUUGGGUAGCCAUGAUAUAUGGUUAGAUGUCACUCAUGGCUUGUGAGUUCUUCUAGAUGAUUAAAUAAGUAGUCCUCAAAGAAGAAGGAGAAUUAAAAGUAAGUUUUAAUUCACUAAGUGAUUGGAUUAAAUAUAGUCAAUUGGAUUGGUGCCAAUCACCUCACUGCCUUGCUAAUUAGAACCUAAAAUGAUUGUACACCGAUACACUCUUUUAGUGAGACUACUAAUGGAUGAUGGAAAUAAUUAAUUGGAUUAAUUAAGUGUUGUGAUUAAUUAGAAAGUCUAAAGAAAUCAUAAAAGCGAUAAAAGAUCAUUUUGGGCUUAAAGAAAAGUUCGGGUUCAUUUGGGCCCAUUGGGCCCAAACCCAUUGGGUCCUUUUAUUCAAGCAUAGGAUGACUUGAAAUAAUAAAAGCCCAAAAGCCCAAACAACACAAAGGGGCCGGCCAAAUAAAGGGAAAGGGAGAGAGAGGGAGUCAAGUGGUUGGCUAACUUUCUUUGAGAUAUAAAAGGAACUUUUAGUGAAAAGUUUCAUUAGGGUUUUUGUGUGUUCUUUUCACAUAAGAAGAAAAUAUCUCUCUCUCUAAAUUCCCACACAAAGGCCGGCCACCAUAAGGGAGAUUUUAGCUAAUCAUCUUCUCUCCCUUUUGGUCAUUCCUCCAUCCAUCUCACUACACUAGUGGGUGUGGAUCUUUAGAGGUCUUCAACCUUGGAGACUAAAGGAGAACCAAGGAGCACUCAUUCUAGCAAGGUGGAGGAAGCAAGGAGGGAGGCUAGGCUCAAGGAGUUCCAAGAACAAAGAGCUUGGAGGUGGUCCAUCCUUGGUCUCAAGUCUAGAUCAAGAGGUAUAAAACUAUACCUUCACUUUGUUCUUCAAUAAAAUGUUUAGAUGCAUCAUAUAUGAACCUAUGCUUCUUGAAGGGGAUUUGCAUGACUAUAGCUUUGAUAUUAUGUGAUAACAUGCUUCCGUUGCUAAUGUAUAUAAAUUUUGAAUUGUAUAUACAUGCUAGUCACUAGAAGUCCCACAUAAAUCUCAUUAUUUCCCUUCAAGUAGUGCCUCUUCGAAAUCAGGAGAGUGGUGCCUCUUCGAUUUUUGAACCAAUGGCCCUGUUGCCCUUUCUUUUAUAAGGGCACCAAUUGUGUGCAAGAAGUACAUUCAGAGAGUUAUUGCUUGUAGGAAAUUUCCCCUUACUUCAGAGAUUUAUUGCACCUCAUUUCUCCUUCAUCAUUUCUGAGAAUGUCUGGCCCAUCCGACCGUCGUUUUGACUUGAACUUUGGUGAAGAGGCAGCAAUGCCUUCUCAAGACAACAUAUGGCGUCCAUCCUUCUUAUCUUCUACUGGUCAUCUUACCAUUGGGGACUCUGUGAUGAAGAAUGAUAUGACCGCUGCGAUGGUGGCCAGGAACCUUCUCACUCCCAAAGAUAACAGACUACUUUCCAAACGGUCUGAUGAGUUGGCUGUUAAGGAUUCUCUGGCUCUCAGUGUUCAGUGUGCAGGUUCUGUGUCUAAUAUGGCCCAACGCCUAUUUGCUCGAACCGCCAAGUUGAAUCAUUGGCGGCUGAAGUGAUAAGUCUCAAACAGGAGAUCAGUGGUCUUAAGCAUAAGAAUAAACAGUUGCACAUGCUCGCACAUGACUAUGCUACAAACAUGAAGAGGAAGCUCGACCAGCUGCAGGAAUCUGAUGGUCAGAUUUUACUUGAUCAUCAUAGGUUUGUGGGUUUGUUCCAAAGGCAUUUAUUGCCUUUGUCUUCUGGGGCUGUACUGCGUAAUGAAGUUCCAAAUGAUUAACCUUCGGUGCCUCCUCCUUCUGGUGUUUUGCCUAGUACUGAGGCUCCGAAUAAUCACUCUAUGGUGCCUCCUCUUUCUAGGGCUCUGCCGACUGCUGAUACUUCUCCUAAGCAACCUUUGUGAAGGCUCCCUCUUGUUUGUUUAUUUUGAUUCAUGUAUAUGUACAUAUUUGUAACUUAUCGGAGAUAUCAAUAAACAAGCUUUGCUUCAUUUCAACGUAUUGUGUUAAAUACAUCAAUAGACAAGUUCUUUGAAUUUUUCCUUUUUUUAAAGCUUGUAUGUUGAAGCUUUGUGAGUGAAGCAUGUAGGUUGAGGUAGUGCUCCCUUAAUUUCCCGAGUAAGGAAAACUUCUCGUUUGGAGACUUCAAAAAUCCAAGUCACUGAGUAGUCGUGAGACUUCCAAGUAUCAAGGAGCAGUAGCAUAUGGUAGGAGUCCCCCAAGUCUCUGUCGGAGAUAUGCCCUGAAAGUCAAUCUUUGGAAGAAACCUUUCAGGACAAUGAAUGAGUGUAUAGAUGACUCUUAUACAUCAAAAGGCAAAGAUACUAAUUAUGACUAUCUCAGUAAACGAUAUAUAUCCUAAAUAGUGAAUCCAUGGACAAUGGAUCGAUGGAAGAAGUAAUCUAAUGAUGUUAGACUACAGAGACCUUCUUCUCAUAACCAUCAUGUCCAAAAGGUUCCUGGUCAUAAGGAUUGUCAGAGGGAUACUGACAAUGCAUAGACCAGUACAUACUAUGUCC
rnacentral:lncRNA from 1 species